UAUUCAAAUGGCAAUAAUUUCCACAAUUAAUGAGCAAAAAUUAUUAGAGUUUAAUCGCAACAAUAUAAAUGAAGACGAAGAUUCAGGCAAUUCCCAAGAUGUAGUGGCAUUUAAAAGAGAAGAAGUCUCAAAUGUGCAAAUUUCAAAUU